CAAUGACAGUGCCCAGGGCUCUGAUGUGUCUCUCACGGCUUGAAAAGCCUGAGACAACUGUCUUGUGUGGAACUGAGAAGCAGGAUUUCUUCACGCCUCCCUUUUGAAGACACUCUGGCAUCUCUUUCUGCAAAGGCAUCUGAAUGUGUCUGCAUCCCUGUUAGCACAAUGUGAGGAGGUGGAGAGACAGCCCACCCCCGUGUCCACCGUGACCCCUGUUCCCACGCUGACCAGUGUUUCCUCCCCAGUCAUCUUUCCUGUUCCAGAGAGGUGGGGCUGGAUGUCUCCAUCUCAGUCUCAACUUUAUGUGCACUAAGCUGCAACUUCUUACUUCCCUACUGAAAAUAAGAAUCUCAAUAUAAAUUUAUUUUCUCAAAUAUCUUCUAUGAGAGGUUGAUGGGUUAAUUAAAUAAGUCAAUUCCUAGAAUUUCAGAGAGCAAAUAAAGACCUGAGAACCUUCCAGAA